rnacentral:misc_RNA from 1 species
ACUGAUCGGGCUAAGAGACACCAGACGCUAGACGCUAAACGAAAGCACCGAUCAGAAGAAGCUAAAUGAGCCGGUAUACGAUGCUUAUUGUUGGGACGCGAGUUGGAUCUCGAGACGGUAUUCGAGAUCCUUGUGGGUUUACGAGGCACGAUGUGGGUUUAUCGAUGAUCGAUGUGCCUUGAACGGCCUAUUGAUCCACGUAUGUAUUAUGCUAGUUGCGCAAGCCGCGGCCAGUGACUAGAUGUUAGUACGACGUGGUGAUAUAGGUGUGCUUCAAGGCAUGGUGGUUUCAAUUUCUUGGUUGUUACUUUCGCAUCGUUCGGUGCAUUCUGGGGGCUGUUUUGGCUUUUGGUUGCUUGCUUGGCCUUUUGGUUGGGUGGGUGGCUACUAGUUGGGCGGCUUUCGGGAAUGUCGACCGGGRAGGUGCAUGAGUGGUGAUUGGUUUGUUACGUGUGGUUGGCUGUAUGCUUGUGCACCAACGACCACGCUGCAUACCUCUUCAGUUUUGCGGCAAGACUCGGUUUGUCUUGAGCAUGUUGUGGGUUUCCUGUGUUGCAUACCUAAUCGAUGGUAACAUGUGGGUUUUACGAUUUUUCUUUUCGUCGUGCGUCGUUCAUGCGGCGUGGGAUGAACAAUGAAGCGGUCUUUGUGAUCCACCGUGUUGUUGCGUUUGCAACAAUGAUGUGGCCCAUGAAGCAUCGUUUGGUCUCUUGUAUACGGAACCUGAUGUGGGCUUGGGUCUUUAUAAGAUCCUCAUUUUGCCCUCGUUAAGCGUUCUCGCUUCUCCAAAACGAUUGCCUGCCAUGUUUUGGCUUGUCCUUGCAUGGUGGGCUACGUCGAAGAGGAAUGC